rnacentral:piRNA from 2 species
UACUCUCUGACAGAUGUGAAGAACAGGUU